rnacentral:rRNA from 1 species
ACGGAAGGCAGCAGUGGGGAAUAUUGCACAAUGGGCGAAAGCCUGAUGCAGCGACGCCGCGUGAGUGAUGAAGUAUUUCGGUAUGUAAAGCUCUAUCAGCAGGGAAGAUAAUGACGGUACCUGACUAAGAAGCACCGGCUAAAUACGUGCCAGCAGCCGCGGUAAUACGUAUGGUGCAAGCGUUAUCCGGAUUUACUGGGUGUAAAGGGAGCGCAGGCGGUACGGCAAGUCUGAUGUGAAAGCCCGGGGCUCCACCCCGGUACUGCAUUGGAAACUGUCGAACUAGAGUGUCGGAGGGGUAAGUGGAAUUCCUAGUGUAGCGGUGAAAUGCGUAGAUAUUAGGAGGAACACCAGUGGCGAAGGCGACUUACUGGACGAUAACUGACGCUGAGGCUCGAAAGCGUGGGGAGCAAACAGGAUUAGAUACCCUGGUA